UCAUCACAUCCUGGGGCUGUAGUAGGUCCCAAGGGUUGGGCUGUUCGCCCAUUAAAGUGGUACGCGAGCUGGGUUCAGAACGUCGUGAGACAGUUCGGUCCCUAUCCGUCGCAGGCGUAGGAAAUUUGAGAAGACCUGUCCUUAGUACGAGAGGACCGGGAUGGACGUACCUCUGGUGUACCAGUUGUCCUGCCAAGGGCAUGGCUGGGUAGCUAUGUACGGAAUGGAUAAGCGCUGAAAGCAUCUAAGCGCGAAGCCAACUUCAAGAUAAGAUUUCCCACCGCAAGGGUAAGACCCCAGAAAGACUAUCUGGUUGAUAGGUCGAAGGUGUAAGUGCAGCAAUGUAUUUAGCUUAUCGAUACUAAUAG
rnacentral:rRNA from 1 species